rnacentral:rRNA from 1 species
UACAGAGGUCCCAAGCGUUGUUCGGAUUCACUGGGCUUAAAGGGUGCGUAGGUGGUGAGGUAAGUCGGAUGUGAAAUCUCCAAGCUCAACUUGGAAACUGCAUUGGAAACUACCUUGCUAGAGGAUUUGAGGGGGGAUUGGAAUACUUGGUGUAGCAGUGAAAUGCGUAGAUAUCAAGUGGAACACCAGUGGCGAAGGCGAAUCCCUGGAAAAUACCUGACACUGAGGCACGAAAGCUAGGGGAGCAAACAGG